UCCGGCUUGUCGCCGGCGGUCCCUCUAGAGUGCCCAACUUAAUGAUGGCAACUAAAGGCGAGGGUUGCGCUCGUUGCGGGACUUAACCCAACAUCUCACGAUACGAGCUGACGACAGCCAUGCAGCACCUGUCUCUACGUCCCUUGCGGGAAAACUCCUAUUAGGGAGCGGUCGUAGGAUGUCAAACCCUGGUAAGGUUCUGCGCGUUGUAUCGAAUUAAACCACACGCUCCGCUGCUUGUGCGGGCCCCCGUCAAUUCCUUUGAGUUUUAGCCUUGCGGCCGUACUCCCCAGGCGGAUAACUUAAUGCGUUAGCUGCGCCACCAAAAGCCCAUGGCUCCUGACAGCUAGUUAUCAUCGUUUACGGCGUGGACUAC
rnacentral:misc_RNA from 1 species